GCCCCGGUAGCUCAGCCUGGUGGAGCGCCUCACUGGUAACAGCCUCCGAGCUACCGACUGAGGAGGUCCCGGGUUCAAAUCCCGGCCGGGGCU
rnacentral:tRNA from 1 species